AGAGGGGGCAAGCGUUGUUCGGAAUUACUGGGCGUAAAGCGCAUGCAGGUGGAUCGCUAAGUCAGGGGUGAAAGCCCGAGGCUCAACCUCGGAACUGCCUUUGAUACUGGCGAUCUUGAGUCCGGGAGAGGUGAGUGGAACUCCGAGUGUAGAGGUGAAAUUCGUAGAUAUUCGGAAGAACACCAGUGGCGAAGGCGGCUCACUGGCCCGGUACUGACACUGAGAUGCGAAAGCGUGGGGAGCAAACAGGAUUAGAUACCCUGGUAGUCCACGCCGUAAACGAUGGGUGCUAGCCGUCAGCCAGCAUGCUGGUUGGUGGCGCAGCUAACGCAUUAAGCGCCCCGCCUGGGGAGUACGAUCGCAAGAUUA
rnacentral:rRNA from 1 species